rnacentral:rRNA from 1 species
CGGCUUACACAUGCAAGUCGAGGGGUAACAGAGGAGCUUGCUCUUGCUGACGACCGGCGCACGGGUGCGUAACGCGUAUACAAUCUGCCUUACACUAAGGGAUAGCCCAGAGAAAUUUGGAUUAACACCUUAUAGUUUAUUUUUAUGGCAUCAUUUAAAUAAUAAAGUUUACGGUGUAAGAUGAGUAUGCGUCCCAUUAGUUUGUUGGUAAGGUAACGGCUUACCAAGACUACGAUGGGUAGGGGCCCUGAGAGGGGGAUCCCCCACACUGGUACUGAGACACGGACCAGACUCCUACGGGAGGCAGCAGUGAGGAAUAUUGGACAAUGGAGGAGACUCUGAUCCAGCCAUGCCGCGUGCAGGAAGACGGUCCUAUGGAUUGUAAACUGCUUUUAUACAGGAAGAAUAAGGACUACGUGUAGUCUGGUGACGGUACUGUAAGAAUAAGGACCGGCUAACUCCGUGCCAGCAGCCGCGGUAAUACGGAGGGUCCGAGCGUUAUCCGGAAUUAUUGGGUUUAAAGGGUCCGUAGGCGGGCUGUUAAGUCAGGGGUGAAAGUUUGCAGCUCAACUGUAGAAUUGCCUUUGAUACUGAUGGUCUUGAAUUAUUGUGAAGUGGUUAGAAUAUGUAGUGUAGCGGUGAAAUGCAUAGAUAUUACAUAGAAUACCGAUUGCGAAGGCAGAUCACUAACAAUUGAUUGACGCUGAUGGACGAAAGCGUGGGUAGCGAACAGGAUUAGAUACCCUGGUAGUCCACGCCGUAAACGAUGGAUACUAGCUGUUUGGAUUUCGAUCUGAGCGGCCAAGCGAAAGUGAUAAGUAUCCCACCUGGGGAGUACGUUCGCAAGAAUGAAACUCAAAGGAAUUGACGGGGGCCCGCACAAGCGGUGGAGCAUGUGGUUUAAUUCGAUGAUACGCGAGGAACCUUACCAGGGCUUAAAUGUAGAUUGACAGGUUUAGAGAUAGACUUUCCUUCGGGCAAUUUACAAGGUGCUGCAUGGUUGUCGUCAGCUCGUGCCGGGA